CUCCUUUUGGCUUUUGUUUUUGUUUCUAAAGACACCUUGGGAAACUUGGUCUCAUACAGGAUUGACAAUGCAUUGAAAGUGACGUGCUUGGACUUGUUGGUUUAGAAGCCGGACUGGAGAUGAAGAGGCUGACUGGGAAGUAGUUGAGAUGAUUCAGAAUCCAGAAUCACCUGGGAGAUGAGCCCAUGGGUGCACCUGUGCGGGAUUAGCGUGACUGCGGCAACUGAUGCUGAAAGACUGCUCUUGACUGUGAGCAAGACCAUUCCCUGGGCAGGGAAUCCUGAACUGAAUGAAAUGGAGGGCGUUAGGGGCGCACUAGAGAGCAUCUUUCUCCGGGUUCCUGAUGGCGGAUGUGAUGUGAUGUGAUCAGCUUCUUCAGCCCCUGUUGCCUUGACUCCCGCCUCAGUGGAUUGUACUCCUGAGCUGUGGGCUGAAAUAAACCCUUUCCCUCUACGUUGCGCACUGUCAGGAUAUUUUUAAAACACAGUAACAGGAAAAGAAACAAGGACAUCUCUCUUCUGUCUUCCUGCUUGAGCCUUACAAGUCAUUUAAAUGUCAACUGCUAUGCAAACAAUGGGGUGUCUGACUAGGAGCCCUGAGCUCCUGGAUUCCACCACAUCCCCAGAGUGGUGCUCCUGGGAGAGGAGGUCUCCUUAGCAGGUGGAACCUGGUGGAGGAUUUAGGUCACUGUGCCCUUGAAGAGGAUUGUGCGGCCUCUGCCCUUUUCUUUCUCUACCUCUGGCUCUGCUCCCUGGCUCAUGAGUUUUACUUGGAGUUCUGAAACUCCUCAAGAGGCAAAUUAAAGCAUCCCCUUGAGGGAUCUCAGACGUGAUUAAAGGUGUAACCACCCACAGUGUCUGCUUUCUGCUACCCGGAGGGACUGAUGUGAGACCACACAGACCCUUGCGCAUCCAUGAUCACUGCUGCACCACCACAACAGCCAGGAAAUGGAGCCGCCUAGAUGCCCGUCGGCAGGAAGAAAAUGUGGUCCAUAUACAUAAUGGAAUUUUAU